rnacentral:rRNA from 1 species
UACGGGGGGGGCAAGCGUUGUUCGGAAUUACUGGGCGUAAAGGGCUCGUAGGCGGCCAACUAAGUCAGACGUGAAAUCCCUCGGCUUAACCGGGGAACUGCGUCUGAUACUGGAUGGCUUGAGGUUGGGAGAGGGAUGCGGAAUUCCAGGUGUAGCGGUGAAAUGCGUAGAUAUCUGGAGGAACACCGAUGGCGAAGGCGGCAUCCUGGACCGGCAUUGACGCUGAGGCGCGAAAGCGUGGGGAGCAAACAGG